rnacentral:rRNA from 1 species
UUCCCUAGUACGGCGAGUGAAGCGGGAAGAGCUCAAAUUUGAAAUCUGGUAGCCUUCGGUUGCCCGAGUUGUAAUCUAGAGAAGUGUUUUCCGCGUUGGCCCAUGUACAAGUCCCUUGGAACAGGGCGUCAUAGAGGGUGAGAAUCCCGUCCUUGACAUGGACCCCCAAUGCUUUGUGAUACACUUUCAACGAGUCGAGUUGUUUGGGAAUGCAGCUCAAAAUGGGUGGUGAAUUCCAUCUAAAGCUAAAUAUUGGCGAGAGACCGAUAGCGAACAAGUACCGUGAGGGAAAGAUGAAAAGCACUUUGGAAAGAGAGUUAAACAGUACGUGAAAUUGUUGAAAGGGAAACGAUUGAAGUCAGUCAUGCUCUUUGGAUUAAGCCGUUCUGCGGUGUAUUUCAUUGAGCGGGGUCAACAUCAGUUUUGAUCGCUGGAAAAGGGCAGGAGGAAGGUAGCACUCUCGGGUGAACUUAUAGCCUCUUGUCGUAUACAGUGAUUGGGACUGAGGAACGCAGCAUGCCUUUUGGCCGGGAUUCGUCCACGUACAUGCUUAGGAUGUUGACAUAAUGGCUUUAAACGAUCCGUCUUGAAACACGGACCCU